rnacentral:rRNA from 1 species
GACGAACGCUGGCGGCAUGCCUAACACAUGCAAGUCGAACGGGGGUAGCAAUACCCUAGUGGCGAACGGGUGAGUAACACGUGAGCAACCUGCCUCAUACACCGGGAUAACAGUUGGAAACGACUGCUAAUACCGGAUAAGACCACAUCGGGGAGUCCCGAAGGGGUCAAAGUGAUUUAGCGGUAUGAGAUGGGCUCGCGUCCAAUUAGCUAGUUGGUGAGGUAACGGCCCACAAGGCGACGAUUGGUAGCCGACUUGAGAGAGUGAUCGGCCACAUUGGAACUGAGAUACGGUCCAAACUCCUACGGGAGGCAGCAGUGGGGAAUUUGGACAAUGGGGGCAACCCUGAUCCAGCCAUGCCGCGUGAGUGAAGAAGGCCUUCGGGUUGUAAAGCUCUUUCGGCCGGGAAAAAUCGCAUCAGUUAAUACCUGGUGUGGAUGAUGGUACCGGAAUAAGAAGCACCGGCUAACUACGUG